rnacentral:lncRNA from 1 species
AUAGUGGCCAGCAUGAGUCAAACCCAGAGCUGGGAUCAACAGCCGCAAGUCAACUGAUUUUCAUCGGGAAGCACGGAAUGAUAUGAGCCAGGAGCCCUCCAUCCCUUCCCUCUGUCUCUUACAGAGCUGGAAACUGUUGGAUAAAGCUGUGUUCUCAGCCUCCACACAGAGACCUUCUCCUCUUAUUUGGCCGCACACUUUUGAAGAGCGACUCUCUGUGAAUUCUUGUUAUUCAGAGCUGCUCUCAAAGAGGGAGAGGGAGGGGGAAAAAAGUGUAUCAGAUCAGCCUACGCCUGUGGUGACUCUCACAAGUUUCAGUUCAAGGAAAGAGAAGAAAAUCAGCAGCUACAAAUUCUGACUCAUUUUGAAAUUUCAGCGCGAUUCAGAAGCGACUGUCCUGAUUUGGGGACUGAGUGCUCAGCCCCUGCUCCGAGCUCCUGGCUGAACCUGGUUUUCCUGAGCUAGCUCCAGGGGAAAGAAAGAUCAGCAAGAAAACUGUCCACAAGCCAACCCGUCACAUGGCUCCCUAUAAAGAGGAUUUGCAUACCUGACACGGCUAUGGAAAUAUUCCCCACCCGGGAAGGGGCGAGAGAGAAGGACUCAUAGUGCCCCACUAUCAGGAUGUAAGGGGUUAACUAGUUAAACUUCUACAACCCCCCACAGUAACUUUCCAAAAGCUGACAAUAAGUAAAAGAAGUGCUGGUUAUCCAUUUUUUAAAGGGAUGGGAUUGGUUUUAGAAGAAAGGGAAAGAGGAUCAAACACCUCAGAGCAACAAAAGGUUGUGUCAGAGGGCCCUCAAUCACAAACCUCCUUCAACAAGAGAUAUUCCAACCUUCCAGAGCAGUUACCCGGGCAGCACGGCUAAAAAGUUCCCUGACAUGAAAAGAACAAAAACAGAAGGGACAGAGGUAGUUAUUGUUAUGCACACUCCUCUUUUUUUUUUUUUUUUUUUUUUUUCUGGGGCUUUUUUUCUCCCCCACAAAACUUUUUGCAUAAGCUGUUCGGGGGAGAAGUAAUAGUGCUGCUUAUUGAAAAGAAAUCCCCCCUCUUUGCAUCUCCUACCUCCUAGGUUGGGAGGUAUGGCCCAGCAGAUUCU